rnacentral:rRNA from 1 species
GUGACACGAGGUGCUGCAGUGGCUGUCGUCAGCUCGUGUCGUGAGAUGGUUAGGGUUAACGUCCCGUAACGAGCGCAACCCUUGUCCUUAGUUACCAGCACGUUAUGGUGGGCACUCUAAGGAGACUGCCGGUGACAAACCGGAGGAAGGUGGGGAUGACGUCAAGUCAUCAUGGCCCUUACGGCCUGGGCUACACACGUGCUACAAUGGUCGGUACAAAGGGUUGCCAAGCCGCGAGGUGGAGCUAAUCCCAUAAAACCGAUCGUAGUCCGGAUCGCAGUCUGCAACUCGACUGCGUGAAGUCGGAAUCGCUAGUAAUCGUGAAUCAGAAUGUCACGGUGAAUACGUUCCCGGGCCGUU